rnacentral:rRNA from 1 species
GAUGAACGCUGGCAGCGUGCCUAAUACAUGCAAGUCGAGCGAACGGACGAGAAGCUUGCUUCUCUGAUGUUAGCGGCGGACGGGUGAGUAACACGUGGAUAACCUACCUAUAAGACUGGGAUAACUUCGGGAAACCGGAGCUAAUACCGGAUAAUAUUUUGAACCGCAUGGUUCAAAAGUGAAAGACGGUCUUGCUGUCACUUAUAGAUGGAUCCGCGCUGCAUUAGCUAGUUGGUAAGGUAACGGCUUACCAAGGCAACGAUGCAUAGCCGACCUGAGAGGGUGAUCGGCCACACUGGAACUGAGACACGGUCCAGACUCCUACGGGAGGCAGCAGUAGGGAAUCUUCCGCAAUGGGCGAAAGCCUGACGGAGCAACGCCGCGUGAGUGAUGAAGGUCUUCGGAUCGUAAAACUCUGUUAUUAGGGAAGAACAUAUGUGUAAGUAACUGUGCACAUCUUGACGGUACCUAAUCAGAAAGCCACGGCUAACUACGUGCCAGCAGCCGCGGUAAUACGUAGGUGGCAAGCGUUAUCCGGAAUUAUUGGGCGUAAAGCGCGCGUANGCGGUUUUUUAAGUCUGAUGUGAAAGCCCACGGCUCAACCGUGGAGGGUCAUUGGAAACUGGAAAACUUGAGUGCAGAAGAGGAAAGUGGAAUUCCAUGUGUAGCGGUGAAAUGCGCAGAGAUAUGGAGGAACACCAGUGGCGAAGGCGACUUUCUGGUCUGUAACUGACGCUGAUGUGCGAAAGCGUGGGGAUCAAACAGGAUUAGAUACCCUGGUAGUCCACGCCGUAAACGAUGAGUGCUAAGUGUUAGGGGGUUUCCGCCCCUUAGUGCUGCAGCUAACGCAUUAAGCACUCCGCCUGGGGAGUACGACCGCAAGGUUGAAACUCAAAGGAAUUGACGGGGACCCGCACAAGCGGUGGAGCAUGUGGUUUAAUUCGAAGCAACGCGAAGAACCUUACCAAAUCUUGACAUCCUUUGACAACUCUAGAGAUAGAGCCUUCCCCUUCGGGGGACAAAGUGACAGGUGGUGCAUGGUUGUCGUCAGCUCGUGUCGUGAGAUGUUGGGUUAAGUCCCGCAACGAGCGCAACCCUUAAGCUUAGUUGCCAUCAUUAAGUUGGGCACUCUAAGUUGACUGCCGGUGACAAACCGGAGGAAGGUGGGGAUGACGUCAAAUCAUCAUGCCCCUUAUGAUUUGGGCUACACACGUGCUACAAUGGACAAUACAAAGGGCAGCGAAACCGCGAGGUCAAGCAAAUCCCAUAAAGUUGUUCUCAGUUCGGAUUGUAGUCUGCAACUCGACUACAUGAAGCUGGAAUCGCUAGUAAUCGUAGAUCAGCAUGCUACGGUGAAUACGUUCCCGGGUCU